rnacentral:rRNA from 1 species
GACGGGGGAUGCAAGCGUUAUCAGGAAUCACUGGGCGUAAAGCGUCUGUAGGUGGCGAUGCAGGUCACUGGUGCAAAACUCUGGCUCAACCGGAGGAAAGCCAGUGAAACUGCAUGACUAGAGUGUGGGAGAGGUAGAAGGAAUUCCCUGAGUAGCGGUGAAAUGCGUAGAUACAGGGAAGAACACCGGAGGCGAAAGCGUUCUACUGGAACACAACUGACACUGAGAGACGAAAGCUAGGGGAGCGAAUGGG